GGCCCAGAUUCCUACGGGAGGCAGCAGUGGGGAAUAUUGCACAAUGGGCGCAAGCCUGAUGCAGCAACGCCGCGUGAGGGACGACGGCCUUCGGGUUGUAAACCUCUUUUAGCAGGGAAGAAGCGAAAGUGACGGUACCUGCAGAAAAAGCGCCGGCUAACUACGUGCCAGCAGCCGCGGUAAUACGUAGGGCGCAAGCGUUAUCCGGAAUUAUUGGGCGUAAAGAGCUCGUAGGCGGUUUGUCGCGUCUGCUGUGAAAUCCCGAGGCUCAACCUCGGGUCUGCAGUGGGUACGGGCAGACUAGAGUGCGGUAGGGGAGAUUGGAAUUCCUGGUGUAGCGGUGGAAUGCGCAGAUAUCAGGAGGAACACCGAUGGCGAAGGCAGAUCUCUGGGCCGUAACUGACGCUGAGGAGCGAAAGGGUGGGGAGCAAACAGGCUUAGAUACCCUGGUAGUCCACCCCGUAAACGUUGGGAACUAGUUGUGGGGUCCAUUCCACGGAUUCCGUGACGCAGCUAACGCAUUAAGUUCCCCGCCUGGGGAGUACGGCCGCAAGGCUAAAACUCAAAGGAAUUGACGGGGACCCGCACAAGCGGCGGAGCAUGCGGAUUAAUUCGAUGCAACGCGAAGAACCUUACCAAGGCUUGACAUAUACGAGAACGGGCCAGAAAUGGUCAACUCUUUGGACACUCGUAAACAGGUGGUGCAUGGUUGUCGUCAGCUCGUGUCGUGAGAUGUUGGGUUAAGUCCCGCAACGAGCGCAACCCUCGUUCUAUGUUGCCAGCACGUAAUGGUGGGAACUCAUGGGAUACUGCCGGGGUCAACUCGGAGGAAGGUGGGGAUGACGUCAAAUCAUCAUGCCCCUUAUGUCUUGGGCUUCACGCAUGCUACAAUGGCCGGUACAAAGGGCUGCAAUACCGUAAGGUGGAGCGAAUCCCAAAAAGCCGGUCCCAGUUCGGAUUGAGGUCUGCAACUCGACCUCAUGAAGUCGGAGUCGCUAGUAAUCGCAGAUCAGCAACGCUGCGGUGAAUACGUUCCCGGGUCUUGUACACACCGCCCGUCAAGUCAUGAAAGUCGGUAACACCUGAAGCCGGUGGCCCAACCC
rnacentral:rRNA from 1 species